rnacentral:tRNA from 5 species
GGAGAGAUGGCUGAGUGGUUGAUAGCCCCGGUCU